GGGUUGUGAGGUUAAGCGACUAAGCGUACACGGUGGAUGCCCUGGCAGUCAGAGGCGAUGAAGGACGUGCUAAUCUGCGAUAAGCGUCGGUAAGGUGAUAUGAACCGUUAUAACCGGCGAUUUCCGAAUGGGGAAACCCAGUGUGAUUCGUCACACUAUCAUUAACUGAAUCCAUAGGUUAAUGAGGCGAACCGGGGGAACUGAAACAUCUAAGUACCCCGAGGAAAAGAAAUCAACCGAGAUUCCCCCAGUAGCGGCGAGCGAACGGGGAGCAGCCCAGAGCCUGAAUCAGUGUGUGUGUUAGUGGAAGCGUCUGGAAAGGCGUGCGAUACAGGGUGACAGCCCCGUACACAAAAAUGCACAUACUGUGAGCUCGAUGAGUAGGGCGGGACACGUGGUAUCCUGUCUGAAUAUGGGGGGACCAUCCUCCAAGGCUAAAUACUCCUGACUGACCGAUAGUGAACCAGUACCGUGAGGGAAAGGCGAAAAGAACCCCGGCGAGGGGAGUGAAAAAGAACCUGAAACCGUGUACGUACAAGCAGUGGGAGCACGCUUAGGCGUGUGACUGCGUACCUUUUGUAUAAUGGGUCAGCGACUUAUAUUCUGUAGCAAGGUUAACCGAAUAGGGGAGCCGAAGGGAAACCGAGUCUUAACUGGGCGUUAAGUUGCAGGGUAUAGACCCGAAACCCGGUGAUCUAGCCAUGGGCAGGUUGAAGGUUGGGUAACACUAACUGGAGGACCGAACCGACUAAUGUUGAAAAAUUAGCGGAUGACUUGUGGCUGGGGGUGAAAGGCCAAUCAAACCGGGAGAUAGCUGGUUCUCCCCGAAAGCUAUUUAGGUAGCGCCUCGUGAAUUCAUCUCCGGGGGUAGAGCACUGUUUCGGCAAGGGGGUCAUCCCGACUUACCAACCCGAUGCAAACUGCGAAUACCGGAGAAUGUUAUCACGGGAGACACACGGCGGGUGCUAACGUCCGUCGUGAAGAGGGAAACAACCCAGACCGCCAGCUAAGGUCCCAAAGUCAUGGUUAAGUGGGAAACGAUGUGGGAAGGCCCAGACAGCCAGGAUGUUGGCUUAGAAGCAGCCAUCAUUUAAAGAAAGCGUAAUAGCUCACUGGUCGAGUCGGCCUGCGUGGAAGAUGUAACGGGGCUAAACCAUGCACCGAAGCUGCGGCAGCGACGCUUAUGCGUUGUUGGGUAGGGGAGCGUUCUGUAAGCCUGUGAAGGUGUGCUGUGAGGUAUGCUGGAGGUAUCAGAAGUGCGAAUGCUGACAUAAGUAACGAUAAAGCGGGUGAAAAGCCCGCUCGCCGGAAGACCAAGGGUUCCUGUCCAACGUUAAUCGGGGCAGGGUGAGUCGACCCCUAAGGCGAGGCCGAAAGGCGUAGUCGAUGGGAAACAGGUUAAUAUUCCUGUACUUGGUGUUACUGCGAAGGGGGGACGGAGAAGGCUAUGUUGGCCGGGCGACGGUUGUCCCGGUUUAAGCGUGUAGGCUGGUUUUCCAGGCAAAUCCGGAAAAUCAAGGCCGAGGCGUGAUGACGAGGCACUACGGUGCUGAAGCAACAAAUGCCCUGCUUCCAGGAAAAGCCUCUAAGCAUCAGGUAACAUCAAAUCGUACCCCAAACCGACACAGGUGGUCAGGUAGAGAAUACCAAGGCGCUUGAGAGAACUCGGGUGAAGGAACUAGGCAAAAUGGUGCCGUAACUUCGGGAGAAGGCACGCUGAUACGUAGGUGAAGCGACUUGCUCGUGGAGCUGAAAUCAGUCGAAGAUACCAGCUGGCUGCAACUGUUUAUUAAAAACACAGCACUGUGCAAACACGAAAGUGGACGUAUACGGUGUGACGCCUGCCCGGUGCCGGAAGGUUAAUUGAUGGGGUUAGCGCAAGCGAAGCUCUUGAUCGAAGCCCCGGUAAACGGCGGCCGUAACUAUAACGGUCCUAAGGUAGCGAAAUUCCUUGUCGGGUAAGUUCCGACCUGCACGAAUGGCGUAAUGAUGGCCAGGCUGUCUCCACCCGAGACUCAGUGAAAUUGAACUCGCUGUGAAGAUGCAGUGUACCCGCGGCAAGACGGAAAGACCCCGUGAACCUUUACUAUAGCUUGACACUGAACAUUGAGCCUUGAUGUGUAGGAUAGGUGGGAGGCUUUGAAGUGUGGACGCCAGUCUGCAUGGAGCCGACCUUGAAAUACCACCCUUUAAUGUUUGAUGUUCUAACGUGGACCCGUGAUCCGGGUUGCGGACAGUGUCUGGUGGGUAGUUUGACUGGGGCGGUCUCCUCCUAAAGAGUAACGGAGGAGCACGAAGGUUGGCUAAUCCUGGUCGGACAUCAGGAGGUUAGUGCAAUGGCAUAAGCCAGCUUGACUGCGAGCGUGACGGCGCGAGCAGGUGCGAAAGCAGGUCAUAGUGAUCCGGUGGUUCUGAAUGGAAGGGCCAUCGCUCAACGGAUAAAAGGUACUCCGGGGAUAACAGGCUGAUACCGCCCAAGAGUUCAUAUCGACGGCGGUGUUUGGCACCUCGAUGUCGGCUCAUCACAUCCUGGGGCUGAAGUAGGUCCCAAGGGUAUGGCUGUUCGCCAUUUAAAGUGGUACGCGAGCUGGGUUUAGAACGUCGUGAGACAGUUCGGUCCCUAUCUGCCGUGGGCGCUGGAGAACUGAGGGGGGCUGCUCCUAGUACGAGAGGACCGGAGUGGACGCAUCACUGGUGUUCGGGUUGUCAUGCCAAUGGCACUGCCCGGUAGCUAAAUGCGGAAGAGAUAAGUGCUGAAAGCAUCUAAGCACGAAACUUGCCCCGAGAUGAGUUCUCCCUGACCCUUUAAGGGUCCUGAAGGAACGUUGAAGACGACGACGUUGAUAGGCCGGGUGUGUAAGCGCAGCGAUGCGUUGAGCUAACCGGUACUAAUGAACCGUGAGGCUUAACCUUACAACGCCGAAG
rnacentral:rRNA from 1 species